ACGGGUGAGUAAUACCUAGGAAUCUGCCUGAUAGUGGGGGAUAACGUUCGGAAACGGACGCUAAUACCGCAUACGUCCUACGGGAGAAAGCAGGGGACCUUCGGGCCUUGCGCUAUCAGAUGAGCCUAGGUCGGAUUAGCUAGUCGGUGAGGUAAUGGCUCACCAAGGCUACGAUCCGUAACUGGUCUGAGAGGAUGAUCAGUCACACUGGAACUGAGACACGGUCCAGACUCCUACGGGAGGCAGCAGUGGGGAAUAUUGGACAAUGGGCGAAAGCCUGAUCCAGCCAUGCCGCGUGUGUGAAGAAGGUCUUCGGAUUGUAAAGCACUUUAAGUUGGGAGGAAGGGUAUUAACCUAAUACGUUAGUAUUUUGACGUUACCGACAGAAUAAGCACCGGCUAACUCUGUGCCAGCAGCCGCGGUAAUACAGAGGGUGCAAGCGUUAAUCGGAAUUACUGGGCGUAAAGCGCGCGUAGGUGGUUUGUUAAGUUGAAUGUGAAAUCCCCGGGCUCAACCUGGGAACUGCAUCCAAAACUGGCAAGCUAGAGUAUGGUAGAGGGUAGUGGAAUUUCCUGUGUAGCGGUG
rnacentral:rRNA from 1 species